UACGAAGGGGGCUAGCGUUGCUCGGAAUCACUGGGCGUAAAGGGCGCGUAGGCGGGCCGCCAAGUUCGAGGUGAAAUCCUCCGGCUCAACCGGAGAACUGCCUCGAAUACUGGAGGCCUCGAGGCGGGUAGGGGCACGCGGAACUGUGGGUGGAGCGGUGAAAUGCGUUGAUAUCCACAGGAACUCCGGUGGCGAAGGCGGCGUGCUGGACCCGAUCUGACGCUGAGGCGCGAAAGCCAGGGGAGCGAACGGG
rnacentral:rRNA from 1 species